UCAUUCACAAUGGGGGAAACCCUGAUGGUGCGACGCCGCGUGGGGGAAUGAAGGUCUUCGGAUUGUAAACCCCUGUCAUGUGGGAGCAAAUUAAAAAGAUAGUACCACAAGAGGAAGAGACGGCUAACUCUGUGCCAGCAGCCGCGGUAAUACAGAGGUCUCAAGCGUUGUUCGGAAUCACUGGGCGUAAAGCGUGCGUAGGCUGUUUCGUAAGUCGUGUGUGAAAGGCGCGGGCUCAACCCGCGGACGGCACAUGAUACUGCGAGACUAGAGUAAUGGAGGGGGAACCGGAAUUCUCGGUGUAGCAGUGAAAUGCGUAGAUAUCGAGAGGAACACUCGUGGCGAAGGCGGGUUCCUGGACAUUAACUGACGCUGAGGCACGAAGGCCAGGGGAGCGAAAGGGAUUAGAUACCCCUGUAGUCCUGGCAGUAAACGGUGCACGCUUGGUGUGCGGGGAAUCGACCCCCUGCGUGCCGGAGCUAACGCGUUAAGCGUGCCGCCUGGGGAGUACGGUCGCAAGAUUAAAACUCAAAGAAAUUGACGGGGACCCGCACAAGCGGUGGAGUAUGUGGCUUAAUUCGAUGCAACGCGAAGAACCUUACCUGGGCUUGACAUGUAAUGAACAACAUGUGAAAGCAUGCGACUCUUCGGAGGCGUUACACAGGUGCUGCAUGGCCGUCGUCAGCUCGUGUCGUGAGAUGUUUGGUUAAGUCCAGCAACGAGCGCAACCCCUGUUGCCAGUUACCAGCACGUGAAGGUGGGGACUCUGGCGAGACUGCCCAGAUCAACUGGGAGGAAGGUGGGGACGACGUCAGGUCAGUAUGGCCCUUAUGCCCAGGGCUGCACACGUACUACAAUGCCCAGUACAGAGGGGGCCGAAGCCGCGAGGCGGAGGAAAUCCUAAAAACUGGGCCCAGUUCGGACUGUAGGCUGCAACCCGCCUACACGAAGCCGGAAUCGCUAGUAAUGGCGCAUCAGCUACGGCGCCGUGAAUACGUUCCCGGGUCUUGUACACACCGCCCGUCACAUCAUGGAAGCCGGUCGCACCCGAAGUAUCUGAAGCCAACCGCAAGGAGGCAGGGUCCUAAGGUGAGACUGGUAACUGGGAUGAAGUCGUAACAAGGUAGCCGUAGGGGAACCUGCGGCUG
rnacentral:rRNA from 1 species